UCUACUUCGUGCGUUGGCAACAUUGUUCUUUUUCUAUUCUCUAGGGCUUCGCUGAAAUUAGCAAAGCAAAAAUCUAUCGCAGUGUAAUAUAGUUCGUAGAAUUAUUUAUUUGUUGCAAUUCUGUACCAAUAGAAAUUGCAGAUGAUUUGCUUCAAGUACUUCUCACGAUCAAUUAGAAAAGCAUGUAAAGAUCAAAUUACGAGGACCCUAACCUCACAACCAGCUACAGAUGCAAAAGCAAUAGAAUCUAGUGAGGAGAAAUGUAUAGUAGUAGACCGGAUCGGUGCUGUUAUGACAAUUGGUAUAAAUCGUCCUGAAAAAAGAAAUUGUUUAGAUACCAAAACAGCAUUAAGCCUUGCAAACGCUUUAGACUCAUUUGAUCAUGACAGCGAAGCAUUGGUUGGUAUACUUCAUGGAAUUGGAGGAAAUUUCUGUGCUGGAUAUGAUCUUCAUGAAAUAGCACAAUAUACCGGAGAUUCAGAAGAUAACGUUCCUCAUUUUGGACCCCUGUGUAAUAGGACAAGCUUAUCGAAUAAACCACUUAUUGGUGUAAUGGUGGGAUUUACGAUUGGAGUUGGUUUCGAACUCAGUUUAAUGUGUGAUUUAAGAAUAUGUGAACAUACUACAGUAAUGGGUUUACUUAAUCGUCGAUUUGGAAUCCCGAUGUUGUGCGGAGGAACCGUAAGGUUACCGGCGAUGAUUGGUUAUUCACGAGCCUUGGACCUGAUCUUGACGGGUCGAUCCAUCACUGGAGAAGAAGCAUAUAACUGGGGUCUUUGUAACCAACUUGUGCAAUGUGGAUCCGGUCUUGGCCGGGGCAUAAGUUUGGCUCAAUCUUUAACCAAAUUUCCUCAGCGCACCUUGUUGGCAGACCGUAGAUCAGCACAUGCUGCCACAUUCGGUAUAAAUCAAAUCGAGGAAGCGUUACAAUUUGAAAAAGACAAUGCAUCCCAUCUUUUAUUGGAAGAAGGUGUCGCUGGGGCGAAGAAGUUUGUGAAUGGAAUUGGAAGACACGGGAAAUCUUAUAAUCUCACAAAAAUGGACAGGAUAUCGUUUAAAAGAUUAAGCGAUGACAUGUUAUAAUCAAACCGUAUAAAAUGUCUGUAACAAGAAAAUAACGAGUGGGUUACAAAAAUUGUACAUAAUAUUUGUAGCUCCCAGAUAAUUGCUUCUUCGAUGCUCUUCGAAUUUUACUCAGAAUCUCCGAAACCCCUUUGCUUGAUUUUUUGGAAGUGAUCGGCACCAUAUUCACAAUCUGCCCACUGGAAUCGCC